rnacentral:rRNA from 1 species
UACGUAGGGUGCAAGCGUUGUCCGGAAUUAUUGGGCGUAAAGAGCUCGUGAGCGGUUUGUUGCGUCGGCUGUGAAAUCCCGAGGCUCAACCUCGGGUCUGCAGUUGAUACGAGCAAACUAGAGUGUUGCAGGGGAGACUGGAAUUCCUGGUGUAGCGGUGAAAUGCGCAGAUAUCGAGGAGGAACACCGGUGGCGAAGGCGGGUCUCUGGGCAACAACUGACGCUGGAGGCGACGAAAGCCGUGGGGAGCAAACAGG